UACGAAGGGGGCUAGCGUUGCUCGGAAUCACUGGGCGUAAAGCGCACGUAGGCGGACUCUUAAGUCGGUGGUGAAAUCCUGGAGCUCAACUCCAGAACUGCCUUUGAUACUGAAGAUCUUGAGUUCGGGAGAGGUGAGUGGAACUGCGAGUGUAGAGGUGAAAUUCGUAGAUAUUCGCAAGAACACCAGUGGCGAAGGCGACUAACUGGACAUGUAUUGACGCUGAGGUGCGAAAGCGUGGGGAGCAAACAGG
rnacentral:rRNA from 1 species